CUGUCACAUAUUUUAUAAUGGCAGCGCCCAUGGAAGGACAAUCGAGCAAGUCUUCUCCGGCAAGUUUAGCUUGUGAAAACAGUGAUGCUUCACGCAAAACAACGUCUGCAGUCAUGGCAGAAUUUAUGCAUGAAAGCCAUGGAGCCUGUGAUAACAAAGAUACAUCAUCAAAUCCGUCAUCGCCAGUGAAUGCGAAAGAGAAACAAGGAGGGAUGUAUGCUUGGUAUCAACACAAGUCGUGUUUACGUAGAGCAAACUUUGCCAGUCAGCAUCAUCCAAAUGUGAAGUUUCUCCUGGAAGCAAUUGAUAAAUUAGGAAGUGAGUUUGUAAUAGGCAGGCAAGUAUGCUGUGAACGGUGUACAACAGAUGCCAACGUCAGUGGAGGCUUUGACCCAGUCAAGAAUGAGAUAAUUCUUUGCGAGAACAGGGCUCCAACACAGCGCCUGACGAGCAUGCUGCUUACCCACGAGCUGGUCCACGCUUACGACCAUCACAAGGCCAAAGUGGACUGGACGGAUCUGAAAGCCGUUGCUUGCAGCGAGAUCCGUGCAGCCAAUCUAAGUGGUGAUUGCUCCUUCCUGAGUGAGAAAUUCUACCGUUGGAACAUAGGUGCGAAGCACAACCAUGAGGCCUGUGUCAGGAGACUCGCGGUCAGCUCUAUCGUCGCGACACGGGACUUGUCAAAGGAGGAAGCUGAGAAAGCUGUUGAUGGUGUCUGGGCCGACUGUUUCCAUGACUAUGCACCCUUCGCCGACAUCCCACACCGGGCAGCUGAUAUGAGAUUCAGCCGCUUCUCCAAAUACUACAAUCCCAGGUGACAUGAUAUGAGAAAGCACCGAGCAGUACAGGCUGUUACUGGAAAGUUCUAGUCAUUUUUUUUUUGAAAAGGCCAUGGAACACAUGCACAGAAAUGGAAUGUAUGCACACAUAAAAGUUCAAAAUCCACUUACGAUUUGCUGCCAAGAUUCAAGAAGUCCGUCACUGCGUAUUCCCUUCCACAAGCCAUGUGGUAGCCUCGUUGCCUAGUCACAAUAAUCAGAAGUCAGGUGGAAGUAAGUCACUGCACAGAAGUUGAUUUCCAUCAUGCCUACAAGCCAGUUAGUCACCGCAACUAUUUCUGUAGCCAGAGGACUUCGUUUUCAACCCCCCCCCACCAAAAAGAAAGAAAAAAAGGUGAAGGGUUAUGUCAAUAUACCUCUACCUCCAACCAAAUUUACAAAGCUGAACUUUGCUCAGUGGAGCAGGAAGCACAAUAGAGAAUGGUGGCAACAGCUUUUGGUUGGGACUGUAGUUCUAUCAAUUAAAAAGAAAAUUGAAAACCUGCGGUAUAUUAGUUUUCUUUGGGAGUUGUUUCCUCUUGUUUCGUUUGUUGAUGUAGUCAACCAAAGUUUUUGGUUUGACAAUCGGUUAUCAUUAAAAAUUGCCAUGCUUAAAAGUUCAUGGCGAGAUGCACGUCUACCCUCAAAUCCUUUUGUGACUGCAGAUUUUUUUAUUGUAGUUUAUAACUGCAUGCUAAUCAACAUGAAAAAAAUUCUGUUGACUGGACGCUUCUUCAAAAAUGCCACCUUCACUUAAUGUGAAUGGUGACUGUUUUUCUGAUGUUUCCUAUCCAGAAGUUGUCUUUGUUUGUUGAAGGUUUAGGCCAGGACAGUUCCAUACAUAAGUGAGAAUUCUAUCACACUGUCACCAACCUCAUUUUCAUUGGUAGUUUUUAAACAUAGAGAGGUGUUUGAAAAAAAGAUGGGGGAAAUUUGCCCUUAAAUUUCAGUUAUAUUUUUUUGUGAAAGAUGUUUUAGUUUGUGAAUUUUUAUUAAUAAUGGGGUCAUUAAUGGCAUGACCAAAUUCCACUUUCCCGUGGAAUUACCCUUCAAUAAACUCUUGAAUUGCAUAUUUGUAACAGGAAAAACUCAAAAC
rnacentral:misc_RNA from 1 species